ACCCCACUAUGCUUAACUAUAAANNNNNNCAUUGUUAUUAAUAAACCUACCUUAAUAUCCGCCCGAGUACUACAAGCGCUAGCUUAAAACCCAAAGGACUUGGCGGUGCUCCAAAUCCACCUAGAGGAGCCUGUUCUAUAACCGAUAAUCCGCGUUCAACCUCACCACUUCUUGCCUUUAACGCCUAUAUACCGCCGUCGUCAGCUCACCCUAUGAAGGUAUAAUAGUAAGCGAAAUGACCUUCCCUCAAUACGUCAGGUCGAGGUGUAGCGAAUGAAGUGGGAAGAAAUGGGCUACAUUCUCUCNNUUAGAGUACACGAACAGAAGCAUGAAAAUCUUCUUNNAAAGGCGGAUUUAGCAGUAAGUAAAUUUUAGAACAUUAUACUGAAACCGGCCCUGG
rnacentral:rRNA from 1 species